rnacentral:rRNA from 1 species
UAUCAAAGGAGUAAUCCGCUGAAAGAUGGGCUCGCGACCGAUUAGCUAGAUGGUGAGGUAACGGCUCACCAUGGCGACGAUCGGUAGCCGGACUGAGAGGUUGACCGGCCACAUUGGGACUGAGACACGGCCCAGACUCCUACGGGGGGCAGCAGUGAGGGAUAUUGGGCAAUGGGGGAAACCCUGACCCAGCGACGCCGCGUGAGGGAAGACGGUCUUCGGAUUGUAAACCUCUGUCUUUGGGGACGAAAAAGGACGGUACCCAAGGAGGAAGCUCCGGCUAACUACGUGCCAGCAGCCGCGGUAAUACGUAGGGAGCGAGCGUUGUCCGGAAUUACUGGGUGUAAAGGGAGCGUAGGCGGGAUUGCAAGUUGGAUGUGAAAACUGCGGGCUCAACCCGGAGCGUGCAUUCAAAACUGCGAUUCUUGAGUGAAGUAGAGGCAAGCGGAAUUCCUAGUGUAGCGGUGAAAUGCGUAGAUAUUAGGAGGAACACCAGUGGCGAAGGCGGCUUGCUGGGCUUUUACUGACGCUGAGGCUCGAAAGUGUGGGGAGCAAACAGGAUUAGAUACCCUGGUAGUCCACACUGUAAACGAUGAUUACUAGGUGUGGGGG